rnacentral:lncRNA from 1 species
CUUCACUCUCUAACAGGCAGCCACCUGCCUGGCAUGCUUUGGCCACCUGUCGGCCUGCCCAGCUGUGUAAAUUGCACUGCAAUCAGCAUGGCAAGGCAGCUUGAAGGAGGUACCGCUUGGUGCCUGCAGAUUACUUGUGUAACAUGUUUUCAAGUCAUUGACUUUUACAUUGCAAACAAAGUCUUUUUAUUUGACCUUUUAAAUGCUCUGUUGCAAAAUGUGCAGGAGUACAGUGACAGCACAUAUGUGGAAAUUGCUUUCAUGCUGAUUUUUGGGCACUUUGUAACGGUCUAUGGAGCUUUGGGAGCAGUGCCCGAUGGAACAACCACUGAAGAUGUAGCUCCUUAACAAUCAAACUGCUGAAGAUGCAGGAGAAGGACUUCCUGGAGGCAAGAUAAUGAGUAAUGUGAUAUAAAAGGAUUCUAAUGCAUUCAGCAAAGCCAAACUCAGCAAGACCCGAACAAACCCCAGAGGACACAGAGAGAACCAACCUAUAAUAUAGGUCAAUGUUUUCAUAUGUGGUGUAAGUUCCUUUUGUCUAAUUAAUCUACAUCUACCAAUAUGUUAAUGAGAGGGAGAAAGUGAAAGCUCAUUGCCACCAAAAGGUCCCCAAGGCUGAAAGAAAACAGUCCCAGCUUGUGGCUAAUUAUUUUUUGCUUAAAAUUUAUUACUCUGAAAGAUAAGCAAACAUGGUGUUUAUUUGACCCGUGCACCUUGUACCAGACACUCUUUCCAAAUGCAGUUCUUUAAAACAGCAAUUAAAAUGACAGAAAAAGAGAAGAAAAUGUUGCUGAAAACACAGCAGUACAGCAGUGAAAGAAUGGGAUGACAUUCUUCCUGAGACACCAAGCCAGGAGGUGUGUGGCUAAAGGGUAAUCUCAGCCUUCCUCUAAGACCUGCCUCUGCCCAUUUCCAAAGGGAAUAAGGGAUGGUCACAGCACCCUUUGGCAGGCUGCUGCUCUGGGGAGGGCAUUGGGCUCGGCCACUCCCGUGCCCUUUGCGUGGGGCAUCACGGUCUGUGGCACGGGGCUGAGAUGGGUGCAUGGUGCUGGAACACAGCCCCACAGCCACCCUUGCCCGCAUGUGUGGGCAGUAUGGGCAGCUCUUAUCAAACACUCUGCUUACCCAUGCCCCCUUUACCUGGGUAAUGGAUGUAGAGGCUGGAAGCAGCAGCCCCUGGGGAGCUAUCAGGAUAUCUGAUUUAUGCAAGAGUCUGUAAUAAACUUAUGACAGAUAUUUCUGUUGCUAAUGGG